rnacentral:rRNA from 1 species
UGGGGAAUAUUGGACAAUGGGGGAAACCCUGAUCCAGCAAUGCCGCGUGUGUGAAGAAGGCCUUCGGGUUGUAAAGCACUUUAGGUUGGGAAGAAGGGUUAUUACAUAAUAGGUAAUAGCUUUGACGGUACUAACAGAAUAAGCACCGGCUAACUCUGUGCCAGCAGCCGCGGUAAUACAGAGGGUGCGAGCGUUAAUCGGAAUAACUGGGCGUAAAGGGCGCGUAGGUGGUUUAUUAAGAUGCAUGUGAAAUCCCUGGGCUUAACCUAGGAAUGGCAUGGAUGACUGAUAAGCUAGAGUCUAGAAGAAGGUAGUGGAAUUUCCGGUGUAGCGGUGAAAUGCGUAGAGAUCGGAAGGAACAUCAGUGGCGAAGGCGUCUACCUAGACAAAGACUGACACUGAGGCGCGAAAGCGUGGGUAGCAAACAGG